UUAUUUUUGAGACAGAGUCUCACUCUUUAACCAGGCUAGACUGCAGUGGCGCAAUCUCAGCUCACUGCGAUCUCCAUAUCCUGGGUUCAAGUGAUUCUCCUGCCUCAGCCUCCUGAGUGGCUGGGACUACAGGUGCUUGUCACCAUGCCUAGCUAAUUUUUUUGUGUUUUUAGUAGAGACAGGUUUUCAUCAUGUUGGCCAGGAUGGUCUUGAUCUCUUGACCUUGUGAUCCACCCACCUCAGCCUCCCAAAGUGCUGGGAUUACAGGCAUGAGCCACUGCGCCCGGCCUGUUUUACUUUUAAAUAUACAAUUAAAAUAUUUUUACUCUAGUCAACCUAUUGUACUCAAAUACUAGAUAUUAAUAAUCACAUCAUGGAGAAGGGGGUAUCUAUCCCCUCAAGCAUUUAUCGUUUGUGUUACAAACAAUCCAAUUCAUUGUUUUAAAAUGUACAAUGAUUAUUGACUAUAGUCACCCGGUUGUGCUAUUAAAUAGUAGGUCUUACUCAUUUUUUCUAUUUUUUUUAGCACCCAUUAACCAUCCCCACCUCCCCCUUACCCUGUGGAUUAAAUAUAUUAAAUAUAGACAUGAUAGUUGUUUAAAAGCUAAAUGUUGUCUGUCACGGCUUUUCCUAUUAGAAAUGAGAUAAUGCCCAAAGCACCUUGAAGAGUUAAGCUAUUUUAUUACAUAGGCUGCAGAAGGGCACAUGGAAGUUGAAAGCCUUACAAAGCCUUUUAUAGAUGACAUUGCUGGAUGCCUGCCAGACGAAAAGUCAGUAAAGGGAAUUACGGUAAUGCCACUUUCCAACGACCCAGUAACUUGUUGCAUUAAAGAUUUGGCUAUAAAAGUAAUAAGCGAAUUAAUACCUCUUCUGCAGAAUUGUACUUCUGCUUACCACUGGGACAAAUCUAGAAAUUUGACUGGGCUUGCUCUUCUGUAUGUAUUCAUCCAGUAUCAGCCCCAACUAAUAAUCACCAAAGAUCCUUCAUGGGAAUUACUUGGCAACAAAUGCAAGUCGUGGAAGAACUCCUUUGACAACGAAUUUGCUGCUUAGUAAGAAAUACAAAGCUUUGAAAAGCCUCUUAUGAAUCUCACAUUGUAUCCCGGAACAAGUCUAUUGACAUUAGCACGCAUGAUACAAAAGCUGAGGAAGCCAGAAUGAAGAAGACAGGCUUCAGAUCCAGACUGCAUGGGUCCAAGGCUGAGCUGAGCAGCAUCCUCUCUGGUUAUACUUCACAGCUGUGAAAUGCCAGAAGUAAGACCGUUCUGCACAGCAUGUAGUAACCUGAGAUGAAACAGGGAAGCUGCCCAGGAGUCCCGGUCUACGGAGAGAAACUCACCAGCAGGCAGCAAGCACUGCAAAUCAAAACAAGCAAAUGAGGCUGUGUGUAUAUGAUUUGAAAAUAGUAGAGUACUGUCCAAAUAUUAUUCAGAAAUUGUUGCUUGUCAUAUAAGCAGCCUUUAGUGCCUCACCCAUGAAAAUGGUACAUUCAAUACUAAUACCUUUGGCAUUUCGCCUUUUCUUUUCUUUUUUUUCUUUUUGACACAGUCUUGCUCUGUUGCCCAGGUUGGAGUGCAGGGCAUGAUCUCUGCUCACGGCAACCUCUGCCUCCCAGGUUCAAGCAAUUCUCCUGCCUCAGCCUCCUCAGUAGCUGGGAUUACAGGUGUGUGCUACCACACCCGCUAAUUUUUGUAUUUUUAGUAAAGACAGGGUUUCGACAUGUUGGCCAGGCUGGUCUCGAACUCCUGACCUCAGGUGAUCCACCUGCCUUGGCCUCUCUAAGUGCUGGGAUUACAGAUGUGAGCCACCCUGCCCGGUCACAUUUCACCUUUUCUCUUGAAAAGACCAAAACCUAAAGGAAUUAAUGGGCAGCCCCGUAGACAUUGUGAAUUUUAUAUGUCUUGUGAUCUGGGUUGGAACCCAUAGACUGGAAUAAAAGGUUUUCUGAAGCUUUGGAGCGUCUGAUAACUUAGGUGUCUUUUUCACCUAAUUGCUUUCCAUUUAAAUUAGAGGGCCAGGCACAGUGGCUCAUGUCUAUAAUCCCAGCACCGGGGGAGGCCAGAGAAUUGCUUGAGGUCAGGAGUUCAAGACCAACCUGGGCAACAGCAAAACCCUGUUCUCUACAGAAAACAAACAAACAAACAAAAAAAUUAAAUUAGAGAAUAAUUAUGUAAUAAGAAAUGUGCUGUUGACUCCCUCCUUAUGGAAUUAUAACCUCAGCGGCUGGCUGAAUCCAACUUCAUUUUUUCAAAUCCCAAGAAUUGGGCAAGUCCGGUGCCUGAGGCACUCACCACCAUGCUCAGGGUUGGCCAAGGGCUGAGGCACUGCUGGCACCCUUUGUCUCAUUUCAUGUGACACAUCAGAACUAGACAAGAUGGCUCAGAGAAGCACAGUGGUGGCUGCAUGUUACCAUGCACUCCAUUUCCUCUCAGGACAGGGUGCUGAGGUUUCCAGGAGAAUCGCCCCUCCCCUUUUGAUGUUACAUGGGAGGCAAACCAGGCUGCAGAGGUGUGACCCCCCGCCUCAUGCGAGUGAGCAAGCUUGCAGGUGAUUAAAGGGUUAAGAGGUGCUUCUGAGUGUGGGCACGGAGAAGAAAUGUGAACACUCAAAGCCUUGCCCUCUGUUCAGGAGGUCAUUUUCUGUUUGUAAUCCUUGCCCGUGCCCUGGAAUUCUGAUGUGGGCCUAUUCAUGCCCAUGGAAACCAGCCCUGCCAGGUCCUGGCACGGGCCUGGGAUGCCACCAAGCCAGCUCAGGAGCUCCCUGGUGGUCCUGGUCCCAACCCAGAUUUCCCUUUUGUUUCUUAAAUGGCUUUUAUCCUAAGCUCUGGGAAAAUAAUGUAAUCGAAGCUAAAUGAGAAUUGUGUCACGAGGUCUGCAGACCCUGAGCUUUGACUCAAAGCCUGACCUUUAGCACUGGUGCCUAAGCCUCACUCACUUCCACUUGCUCGCCUCUGGGAGCGGCCUUGGCUGAGGGGUGUGAUGGGGCAGCCACCUUGGCUUCCUUGUUGGGUGCAUCUGUGUAGAGAGGACCCUGGGCUCACCUUUCUCCUUCCUGCCUCAUGCUACCUUUCCCCCACAUCCCCAGUAGUAUUCUCUCUCCUAGGGAGGAGAGAGAAUAGGGCUGAAAGUUGGAAGGAAAAAAGUGGCUUCAACUUUAUUUGCAAU